CAGGGAUUGCCCCAGUAACGGCGAGUGAAGCGGCAACAGCUCAGAUUUGAAAUCUGGCCCCUCUGGGGUCCGAGUUGUAAUCUGUAGAGGAUGCUUUUGGCGACGCGCCUUCCGAGUCCCCUGGAACGGGGCGCCAGAGAGGGUGAGAGCCCCGUAUGGUUGGACGCCGAGCCUCUGUAAAGCUCCUUCGACGAGUCGAGUAGUUUGGGAAUGCUGCUCAAAAUGGGAGGUAAAUUUCUUCUAAAGCUAAAUACCGGCCAGAGACCGAUAGCGCACAAGUAGAGUGAUCGAAAGAUGAAAAGCACUUUGAAAAGAGGGUUAAAUAGCACGUGAAAUUGCUGAAAGGGAAGCGCUUGUGACCAGACUUGCGCCCGGCUGAUCAUCCAGCGUUCUCGCUGGUGCACUCUGCCGGGCUCAGGCCAGCAUCGGCUCUCCCAGGGGGAUAAAGGUCGCGGGAACGUAGCUCCCUCCGGGGAGUGUUAUAGCCCGCGGCGGAAUGCCCUUAGGGGGGGCCGAGGCCCGCGUUCGCAAGGAUGCUGGCGUAAUGGUCACCAGCGACCCGUCUUGAAACACGGACCAAGGAGUCAAGCAUUAGGGCGAGUCUUUGGGUGUAAAACCCGCAGGCGCAAUGAAAGUGAACGGAGGUGAGAGCUUCGGCGCAUCAUCGACCGAUCCUGAUGUUCUCGGAUGGAUUUGAGUAAGAGCCUUACCGCUUGGACCCGAAAGAUGGUGAACUAUGCCUGAAUAGGGUGAAGCCAGAGGAAACUCUGGUGGAGGCUCGCAGCGGUUCUGACGUGCAAAUCGAUCGUCAAAUUUGGGCAUGGGGGCGAAAGACUAAUCGA
rnacentral:rRNA from 1 species